rnacentral:rRNA from 1 species
GACGGGAGGAUGCAAGUGUUAUCCGGAAUCACUGGGGCGUAAAGCGUCUGUAGGUGGUUCGAAAAGUCCACUGUUAAAAAUUGAGGCUUAACUUCAAAGAUGCCGUGGAAACUUUCAAACUAGAGUAUGGUAGGGGUAGAGGGAAUUUCCAGUGGAGCGGUGAAAUGCGUAGAUAUUGGAAAGACCACCGAUGGCGAAGGCACUCUACUGGGCCAUUACUGACACUGAGAGACGAAAGCUAGGGGAGCAAAUGGG